CAAACCUGCACAGAUUGUUUAUAAUGCAAAAUGUUAGGUAUCCUAAAUACAGUGGAAAGGACCUGAAUGAUCAUGCCUCACACUGCUUUUUAUGCUUGUUUCUUAACCAACGUUUAUGUACUUCAAGCAAAAGUGGCCUCCUCCGCCUGCUUCACCCAACAGUAAUGAGUUUGGUUUAUCAGAUUCUGGGGAUCCCACUUGCCCCGCACACCAUAAAAAACAUCUAAUUUGGUGGUCCUGAUGAAACGUGCUUUCUGUUUCAUGUUCCCCAGCGAGAUAAGGCGGCUAUCGGGGCAGGAAGCCUUCUUGGAAAUCACCGUGGGCUUGGCACUGCCGUGCAUCGAGGUAGCCAUGGAAACCUGCUCUCAAAGCCGGCGCCGGCUGAUAAGAGCCUCGAGUGCCACCGGCUGUGUCCGGCCGGGAGAAGGUGAGCAGGAAAGGUUGCCACUUGAAAUUCAG
rnacentral:lncRNA from 1 species